rnacentral:sRNA from 1 species
AUUACAGUGUCAUAAAGUCACAGCCCACGUUGUGCUUGCACAAAAGUGGGCAUGUGACCUUAUGACACGCCCGACAUGAGCACGAAGCAGCGCGGAGCGAUGCGGGAGUGCAAAUGGCGGGGGGAUCGCGGGAGCGCGAAGCGCGGAGCGAUCCGU